GCCAGGUCAGCGGCAACCAUGCAACGAAUAGACAGCGCGCCUUCCAAGCGCUUGGCCGCAGGUUCGAGUCCUGCCGGGGGCGCCA
rnacentral:tRNA from 1 species